rnacentral:rRNA from 1 species
UACGUAGGGGGCAAGCGUUGUCCGGAAUCAUUGGGCGUAAAGAGCGUGUAGGCGGUUCGGUAAGUCUGCCGUGAAAACCUGGGGCUCAACCCCGGGCGUGCGGUGGAUACUGCCGGGCUAGAGGGUGGUAGAGGCGAGUGGAAUUCCCGGUGUAGCGGUGAAAUGCGCAGAUAUCGGGAGGAACACCAGUGGCGAAGGCGACUACCUGGCCUGUUCUUGACGCUGAGGCGCGAAAGCUAGGGGAGCAAACGGG